UACGUAGGGUGCAAGCGUUGUCCGGAAUUAUUGGGCGUAAAGGGCUCGUAGGCGGUCCAUCGCGUCGGGAGUGAAAAGCUGGGGCUUAACCCCAGUCCUGCUUCCGAUACGGGUGGACUAGAGGUAGGUAGGGGAGAACGGAAUUCCUGGUGUAGCGGUGAAAUGCGUAGAUAUCAAGAGGAACACCUGAGGUGAAGACGGGUUGCUGGGCUGACACUGACGCUGAGGCGCGAAAGCGUGGGGAGCGAACAGG
rnacentral:rRNA from 1 species